ensembl:lncRNA
UCGUGCUUUUCCGCCUUCAUCAUCGUUAAUCUCCGCCCCAACAUCGUCAAUCCCCGCCCCAACAUCGGCAAUCUCCGCCCCAACAUCGGCAAUCUCCGCCCCAACAUCGGCAAUCUCCGCCCCAACAUCGGCAAUCUCCGCCCUCCCUUCGGUUAUCUCCGCCCCAACUUCGUAUUUCUCCGCCCCAACUUCGGCAAUCUCCGCCCCAACUUCGUGCUUUUCCGCCUUCAUCAUCGGCAAUCCCCGCCCACCCUUCGUCAAUCUCCGCCCACCUUCGUCAAUCCCCGCCCCAACUUCGUCAAUCUCCGCCCCAACUUCGUGCUUUUCCGCCUUCAUCAUCGUUAAUCUCCGCCCCAACAUCGUCAAUCCCCGCCCCAACUUCGUCAAUCUCCGCCCUCCCUUCGGUUAUUUCCGCCUUCAUCAUCGUUAAUCUCCGCCCACCCUUCGUCAAUCUCCGCCCCAACUUCGUCAAUCUCCGCCCUACCUUCGGUUAUCUCCGCCCCAACAUCGUCAAUCUCCGCCCCAACAUCGUCAAUCUCCGCCCCAACUUCGUCAAUCUCCGCCCACCUUCGUCAAUCUCCGCCCCAACAUCGUCAAUCUCCGCCCCAACUUCGUCUAUCUCCGCCCCAACAUCGGCAAUCUCCGCCCCAACAUCGUCAAUCUCCGCCCCAACAUCGGCAAUCUCCGCCCUCGCUUCGUCAAUCUCCGCCCUCCCUUCGGCAAUCUCCGCCCCAACAUCGUCAAUCUCCGCCCCAACUUCGGCAAUCCCCGCCCCAACAUCGGCAAUCUCCGCCCUCCCUUCGGCAAUCUCCGCCCUCCCUUCGGCAAUCUCCGCCCCAACAUCGUCAAUCCCCGCCCCAACUUCGUGCUUUUCCGCCUUCAUCAUCGUUAAUCUCCGCCCACCUUCGUCAAUCCCCGCCCCAACUUCGUCAAUCCCCGCCCCAACUUCGUCUAUCUCCGCCCUCCCUUCGUCAAUCCCCGCCCCAACUUCGUCAAUCUCCGCCCACCUUCGUCAAUCUCCGCCCCAACUUCGUCUAUCUCCGCCCCAACAUCGGCAAUCCCCGCCCCAACUUCGGCAAUCUCCGCCCUCCCUUCGUCAAUCUCCGCCCACCUUCGUCAAUCUCCGCCCACCUUCGUGCUUUUCCGCCUCCGCUCGUCCCUUCCCUCCCCCCCUCAGGGCGCCGCCGGCCGCCAUUUUUGAAUUAGGCCGAUAUAAAGUGGCCCGUGGAGAACCCGGAGUGUCCGCCCCAGCAUCCGCCGCUUCCCCCCCACGGCCCUCACGGCUCGCCCCCCCACCUCAUGGAUGGAGAGGGGGGGGGGGAGUUGCGGCCUACACCACCCAAUACACCCCGGCGCCGCCGUUCCAAGCGUGUCAAGUCAUCGGCCGCGGCACGAAAGGCUC